rnacentral:tRNA from 1 species
UGGCCCAUGAGGGGGAAUCGAACCUGCGACCUUCGUGUUAUUAGCACGACGCUCUAACCAACUGAGCUAAUGGGCA